UGGCGAAGCUGACGUUUACAGAAUCGCAUAU
rnacentral:piRNA from 1 species